GUUUGGAGUUAACGGUUUGAAUAUUUCUAAGAGCAGCAAGGAAGAAAUGAUCUUGUUGGCUGACAGAAUAAAUCUCAAAUUGCUGGAGCAGAAGUUACCUGACAGUUACUCUUCUCCGCCUCUGCCAUUUCCUGCUCCGUCACCUCGUCCUCGGCCUCCUCUUUUUGCGCCGCGUGGCCGUUUGUCUGUGCUGUCCCGAGCAUCUUGGCGCUGUGCUCCUGCGCCUUCGCUCGCAGUGCAGCAAUACUGUUCUCCCUCAGCUCCUCUUUGGAAAUAGUUUACCUAGUAACCAGGGAGCAUAAGAGUCCGUGACGCCCUCCUUGGCUGACUUGAGGAUGGACUCGGGCAGAGGGAUGGAGUGGCGGACCAUGGCGCCGUACAGGCCGUACUCUGCCAUCACGCUGCUGCGACCCCAGCACUUCUCCCUCUUCCUCCACUUGGCCCUGCGGUUCUGAAACCACACCUGGAGAGAUGAAGGUCAGGAUUUGGAGAACUUUUGAUCACCGGAAGAAAGACUCAUGUCAUCAGAAUCUGUGAGGAAACACAAAACACAUCAGUGAACAACAAUUUAAAAUAAUGUAACUGAAUAAUAAAAAAAAAUAAUAAAUGGUAAUAGUUUACUUUCUUAGCGUAAAAUUGCUUCAGAGAAGAUUUGUCAA